AGACGUAGGGGGCUAGCGUUGCCCGGAUUCACUGGGCGUAAAGCGCGCGUAGGCGGUUCGGCAAGUCGCCCGUGAAAGCCCCUGGCUCAACUGGGGGAGGUCGGGCGAUACUGCCGGGCUAGAGGGCGGCAGAGGGAGGUGGAACGGCCGGAGUAGCGGUGAAAUGCGUAGAUACCGGCCGGAAUCCCGAUGGCGAUGGCAACCUCCUGGGCCGUUCCUGACGCUGAGGCGCGAAAGCUGGGGGAGCGAACCGGAUUAGAUACCCUAGUAGUCC
rnacentral:rRNA from 1 species